rnacentral:lncRNA from 1 species
UGAUAAGAAGAAUGUGUAUACUAUAGCUGUUAAAUAAAAUGUUCUGUGAGUGUAAAUGUCUUUUAGUUUCCUUUGGUCUAAUGUGCAGUUUGAAUCUAAUAUUUCUUUGUUGAUUUUCUAUCUAGUUGAUCUGUCUAAUGCUGAAAGUCGGGUGGUAAAGUCCCCAACUGUUAUUGGAGUCUCUCUCUCCCUUGAGAUACAUAAAGUGACUUAGAGCAAGAGAAAAAAAUCCAGCAAAAGAGUAAUUUUUUUCUUGCUUUUGAGAGUGCUUCUGCACUUGCUUGAGAUCUAAUCACUUUUCUUGAUGAAUAAGAUCAUGGCGGAAGACAAAGGAAGAAAAAGUGUAGUGCUCUUUCUAUAAUCAAACUAAUGGUGAGAAUUUAACAUGAUCAAAUCCAGUGGGUACAAUUAAGGAUGUUACAAUUAGGGAGGGGAAAACAAACUCAAUAAAGAAGAUCAGAAUAUCUUGCUUUGCCAAGUAAUAGUCAAACAUUUAAAGAUUGUGGUGGCCUACCUAUUUAUCAUUGUGUCAUAAUUUGACCAUAUUUAUAGUAGAACUAUUUUCCUUCCUCAAGUUCUAUUUCAGUGAGACGUUGAUUCAUUUUCUCAUCGCUUCUUUGGACUUUUUUUUUUUAUGCCCUGUCUUUGAAAUCUGAGGCCCUCCAAAGCUUGCUCUUCUAGCUAGUGAUUAAUUCUUUGGAUUUUCUUAACUUCAUCCCUCUGUCAAAAUUUAGCCAUUUAACAUUUCACUCUGUCUUUUAAACAUUCUCCAUGUCUCAUCAUGACCAGAUGCUUUGUGUCUACCUUAUAUAAUAUUAUCCCUUAGGAUAUCUUCAACAAGGAAUGAUGUACAUUAAUUACUCUACCAUGAAGUCAUUUUGUUCUUGGCAGUUGAUUCUUCUAUAAGGCUGGAAGUUUAGGAUAUUUGUUAGGAUGCCCUGAACAAAUAAGUUUCAGUGGGGAAAGAGGAGAGAAUUGCAACCUGCCUGGUAAAUCUUUGAAAGUUGUG